rnacentral:lncRNA from 1 species
UCGAUUUCAAAAAUGUCCUAGAACAAGUUACAAAAACCAUCUAAAAUCUUCUUAACGUUCUUCAAUGUUCUCCUCAUUUGCUUCUUUAUUUUCUCCACCUACAAAAAAAUAAAAUCGUGUCAUUAAUCUUUGUCAAUGUCCUCCUCAAUGUAAAAUUGUUUCACAUUGUUGUCACAGGGAAUAUGAACUUUUUCAAAUGCAACUGCCUCAAAAAUACAAACAAUAAGCAAUAAAGCCACUUCAGAAAACUUUAUCAAAAUAAAAUUGCAAGUAGUUACACCAAAUCUACCAUAUUGUUAGACUAAGUUGCCUAAAACUUUCCUACAAAUUCAUGCAUUUCACUACUGUCUACUUUUGCUAAUGCAAAAUUUCACAACUAUGAAUUUAUUGUAAGUAUCCAUUCACAAUUUUAUCUUGUAAUUUAGAAAAAAAUUUCAAAAUUAUCAUGGAAUAGUUUUUCUUAAAAAAAACAGGUUCAAGAAAAAAGUGUAACAAGGCUUUGCAGAACCAAGAAUGUAAUCACAAUCAAUGGGCAAUUUCCAGGACCAACCUUGACAGUUCGAAACGGAGAUACACUGGCUAUUACUGUCGUUAAUCGAACUCGUUACAACGUUACCAUCCACUGGUAACUACCUUUUAAAUGACCUUUUAUGUGUACAUAUGUAUAUAUUUUGACAUUGUCCAUGUAAAAAUUUGAGAAGUCUUUAGUAGCUCUACAUAUCCCUUCACUUCACAUAAAAUCAAUUGUAUGUAACUAUAUAACAAGGACUAUAUGUCCCCUCUACUCUUUUUUUCCCAAUUGCCUUUUAUACUUAAAAACUUCUUUAGCUUUAGCUAGCUAUAAUACGGGGCAUUUUUGAAAAGAUGGAGGUACAAUUACACCUCUCUCUUUGUCUCUCUGCAGGUACAAUAACAUGACUUCUUUAUCUCCUUCUCUCUUUUUCUUUGUCAACAACAACAUAUAUACACCACCAUGGUUGUCUUAAUUACAUAUUCCACCUUGCUAACUUACAUACAUUAAUAAUGCUUACACUCGCACAAACACAAAAAGUUAGCCACUACCUAUCGCAUAGUUAUUAUUACUAUCAUGUAUAAUUAAGAAUAUAACAAGCAAUAUACAUGUAAAACCACAUAUUCACCUGUCUUUUUCAACCAUAAAGCUAUGCUAUCAUCAACAUAUUUUAAAGAAAACAUUACAUUUCUUUUCCCACUUUUUCUCUGUCUCUCUUAUAAUUAAAAAUUAAUAUAUAUACAAGAGAAUUAUACAGGACAAGUCUCACUUAAAUAAAAGAGUCUCAAUUAAUUCAACUUUGUUUUCCUUUUGUUGAUGCAGCUAGCUAGCUUAUUAAAAUUGAUAUACACAAGAAAGAAGAAGAGCUUACUUGUCCUUCUCAAACUCCAGUCCCACCAUAUAGCCACCUUAUCAAGAUUUUUUAAGAUGCAACCUUCUGGCAAUUAUAGCCCCAAUAUUAUCAAUUCCUCUUCUUACUUCAACAUAGAUAUUCCAUCUCCUUAAAUGCAAUACGAA